CCUGGUAGCUCAGUUGGUAAAGAAUCUGCCUGUAAUGCAGGAGACCCUGGUUUGAUUCCAGGGUCAGGA
rnacentral:tRNA from 1 species